GACGAACGCUGGCGGCGUGCUUAACACAUGCAAGUCGAACGGAAAGGCCCUGCUUUUGUGGGGUGCUCGAGUGGCGAACGGGUGCGUAACACGUGUGUAACCUGCCCUUGACUUUGGGAUAACUUCAGGAAACUGGGGUUAAUACCGGAUCGGAGCUCCUGCUGCAUGGUGGGGGUUGGAAAUUCUCGGCGGUUGGGGCUGGACGCGCGGCUUAUGAGCUUGUUGGUGGGGUAGUGGCUUACCAAGGCUUUGACGGGUAGCCGGCCUGGGAGGGUGACCGGCGACAUGGGGACUGAGAGAGGGCGCAGAGUCCUACGGGAGGCAGCGGUGGGGAAUAUUGCACAAUGGGCGGAAGCCUGAUGCAGCAACGUCGCGUGCGGGAUGACGGCCUUCGGGGUGUAAACCGCUUUCGCCUGUGACGAAGCGUGAGUGACGGUAAUGGGUAAAGAAGCACCGGCUAACUACGUG
rnacentral:rRNA from 1 species